rnacentral:rRNA from 1 species
AACGGGGUGAGGAGUCUUGCUCCUCAUCUAGUGGCGAACGGGUGAGUAAUACAUCGGAACGUACCGUGUAGUGGGGAUAACGUAGCGAAAGUUACGCUAAUACCGCAUACGAUCCACGGAUGAAAGCAGGGGACCUUCGGGCCUUGUGCUAUACGAGCGGCCGAUGUCUGAUUAGCUAGUUGGUGGGGUAAAGGCCCACCAAGGCAACGAUCAGUAGCGGGUCUGAGAGGAUGAUCCGCCACACUGGGACUGAGACACGGCCCAGACUCCUACGGGAGGCAGCAGUGGGGAAUUUUGGACAAUGGGCGCAAGCCUGAUCCAGCCAUGCCGCGUGUCUGAAGAAGGCCUUCGGGUUGUAAAGGACUUUUGUCAGGGAGCAAAACCCAGCAGCUAAUAUCUGUUGGGGAUGAGAGUACCUGAAGAAUAAGCACCGGCUAACUACGUG